rnacentral:snRNA from 1 species
AUACUUAUCAGGCAGGGAAGAUAAAAUAAUCAAGAAGGCAGUUUUCCUGGGAUUAGACUUACCUACUAUAAGCUUUUGCUUGCAAUUUCCCUGAAUGUAGUGGACUUCCACUGUAUAAUUUGUUUCAGUGAGGGCCAGUGUUUACGCCUCUCUCU